GACAGAGGUCCCGAGCGUUAGGCGGAAUCACUGGGCUUAAAGCGUGUGUAGGCGGAGUGCUAAGUACCUUGUGAAAUCCCACGGCUCAACCGUGGAACUGCUUGGUAUACUGGUUCUCUUGAGCCACCUAGGGGCAACCGGAACAAACGGUGGAACGGUGAAAUGCGUAGAUAUCGUUUGGAACGCCAAUGGUGAAAACAGGUUGCUGGGGGUGUGCUGACGCUGAGACACGAAAGCCAGGGGAGCAAACGGG
rnacentral:rRNA from 1 species